rnacentral:rRNA from 1 species
UAGGGAAUCUUCGGCAAUGGACGAAAGUCUGACCGAGCAACGCCGCGUGAGUGAAGAAGGUUUUCGGAUCGUAAAACUCUGUUGUUAGAGAAGAACAAGGACGUUAGUAACUGAACGUCCCCUGACGGUAUCUAACCAGAAAGCCACGGCUAACUACGUGCCAGCAGCCGCGGUAAUACGUAGGUGGCAAGCGUUGUCCGGAUUUAUUGGGCGUAAAGCGAGCGCAGGCGGUUUCUUAAGUCUGAUGUGAAAGCCCCCGGCUCAACCGGGGAGGGUCAUUGGAAACUGGGAGACUUGAGUGCAGAAGAGGAGAGUGGAAUUCCAUGUGUACCGGUGAAAUGCGUAGAUAUAUGGAGGAACACCAGUGGCGAAGGCGGCUCUCUGGUCUGUAACUGACGCUGAGGCUCGAAAGCGUGGGGAGCAAACAGG